AUCUACCCUUGUGUCAGGGUCGGUUGUCACUCGAUCCAUCAGUUGAUUCAGUUCAACUGCAUUGUCUGGUCCUAUGUCAUAUGCACAUAGGUCAGAUUAAGUUGACCCUGUGCUGGUUGUAGCCUGAACAAACUCUUGGUUGGGUUUACUGCUGCUUCCAUGCACAACCAUGGGUCAUGGUGUGUGACGACUGUCAAACUGUGAUCUCUAUACAGUUGUCUAUCUACACCCUAUCUMUAUACACCUA
rnacentral:misc_RNA from 1 species